ensembl:lncRNA
CAUACUGCCAGUUAGAACAACACACAGUGAAAGAUGCCUGGAAUAUGGUUUCAAGCAUCUUGGUGAAGAUCAGUGUUACAGCCAGAGUGGUGAGGGCUGUUUCUCCUGUAACACAAUUGUAUGAAAUAACUUAUAUGUCAGCAGAUCCUCCCAGUAUCUGUAAAGCAGUGCUAAUUCCAAGCUUUUCUCCUUGCUGAUAUUCACUGCGUAGACAUUACUCUGAAGAUUGUGUUCAUGAUCCUGAAAUCCUCAUGGCAGCGCGUUACUCAUGGCAGUGCUGUGUAUCUCAUGGAUCUGGACAGUUAAGCUGCAUCAAACACUGCUCGACACCCAUUAAUUCCUACAUGUUUCUCUUUCAGGACUUCACAGCCUACUUUAUCUCACGGCUCUUUAACUGUUGUGAUUUUGACAAGGUCUUUUUUUUUUUUCUUUCUUCUGACUCAGCCCUGUUUUUUUUUUUCAGCUGUAGGAGCAGGGAAGAGAGAAUAGCGUGUUUUUGGAUUUCCUGAUCAGGCUCCAGACUGGGUUGUCUUUUGCCAUCAGAAUGUUCAGGUGCCCCAUCUCAGGUUCCAGAAGGAAGAAUGCAUCUGUAUACAUAGGCAACCUGAAAACUGUCCCUUUCAGACAGAUCCUGGUGGGGCAGCAAGACAAGUUACUGCUUACUGAGAAAAAGUAACAGACUUCUGACAUGGAGGAAAAUCACUGUAAUCACCAUGAGAACACAGCCUUGAGGGCUGCUGUGCAUAUCAGUACAUUUGGAACAUCACGAAGCACAGCAAAGCAUCACAAAAUACAAACCAAAAUGAUUCUAGGCUGUAUGUUGGGUACAAUAGCUCUUGAAUCAGGUGAGGGGUCAGCCAAUCCAUUAGGCUAGAAACGCUGACUUCAAAACAAGCAGGAGAAAAUGGCCUAUCCCCAGUUGGUGCGAUGUGGAAAAUGUGUGACCACGCACCAAAAUGGAAGGCCAUUAUUUAUUUUACCACAGUGUAUUUUUUCAGCUCCACCACCUUUUAAAGAUGUCAUUUGCUGACCUGAGACAUCUCACAUUUUGGGAUGAUGACCUGACAAGAGACAUUCUGUUAGUG